UCCCAGCUGGCUCAGAGGGUAAAGCGUCUGUCUACAACGCAGGAGACCCGGGCUCGAUCCCUGGGUCUGGAA
rnacentral:tRNA from 1 species